UACUAGAGUAGCACUCGCAUAUCAAUAAGCGGAGGAAAAGAAACUAGCAAGGAUUCCCCUAGUAACGGCGAGUGAAGCGGGAAGAGCUCAAAUUUGAAAUCUUAAAGGGUCUCCCUUUACGAAUUGUAGUUUAAAGAAGUGUUUUCUGUUGAGGUUUUGGUAAAAGUUCUUUGGAAUAGGACAUCAUAGAGGGUGAGAAUCCCGUAUUUGACCUUUACUUUCAACUUUGUGAUACACUUUCAAAGAGUCGGAUUGUUUGGGAAUGCAGUCCAAAAUGGGUGGUAAAUUUCAUCUAAAGCUAAAUAUUGGCGAGAGACCGAUAGCGAACAAGUACCGUGAGGGAAAGAUGAAAAGAACUCUGAAAAGAGAGUUAAACAGUACGUGAAAUUGUCAAAAGGGAAGCGUUUGACACCAGUGUUGUUUUUCUGAAAAUCAAUUAAAGAACUGUUUAUGCUAAGUUGUUUAGACUUUAUCAGCUAUCUGCUUAGUUUUGAGCUUUUCUUUAAUGCACUUUUCAGUUAACAAGUCAACAUCAAUUUCUUUUGCUGUAAAAAAGCUUGAGGAAGGUGGCUUGAGAUUCGUCUUAAGUGUUUAUAGCCUCUUGCCUAUGCAGUCGGAGAGAUUGAGGUCUGCAGCGUAGAUCCUUCGGGGCUAAAUGCAUUUGUGCUAAGUUAUAGCAUUUUAUAGACAACUUGUUGACUAUGAUUUGUCUUGUAGCUUACUCGCUUAUGUUAUUUUACCUACGCUUAGGAUGUUGAACUACUGAGACAUAGA
rnacentral:rRNA from 1 species